rnacentral:rRNA from 1 species
AAUGGACGAAAGUCUGACGGAGCGACGCCGCGUGGUAGAUGAAGUCCUUAGGGACGUAAAUACCGUUUAUGAGGGAAGAAGUUUAUUGACAUUACCUCAUGAAUAAGGGGCUCCCAAUUCUGUGCCAGCAGGAGCGGUAAUACAGAAGCCUCAAGCGUUACCCGGAUUUACUGGGCUAAAGGGUGUGUAGGUGGUGCGAUUAGUCUUGUGUUAAAUCUUCGGGCUCAACCCGGAACUCGCGCAGGAAACGGUCGCACUAGAGGAAGUGAGAGGCGUGUGGAACUCAUGGUGUAGGGGUGAAAUCCGUUGAUAUCAUGGGGAACACCAAAAAGCGAAGGCAACACACUGGCACUCUCCUGACACUGAAACACGAAAGCGUGGGUAGCGAAUCGGAUUAGAUACCCGAGUAGUCCACGCCCUAAACGUUGUCCGCUAGCUAUAGGGAGUAUCGACCCUCUCUGUGGCGUAGCUAACGCAUUAAGCGGACCGCCUGGGUAGUACGAGCGCAAGCUUA